rnacentral:lncRNA from 1 species
GAAGGUUCGAGAACAUUAUGGAGUUCUCUGGAAUAUUCUAGAAGAUGAUAGAAACUCUUUUAUGUAUAGUAGAGAAUGUGAGAAUAUUCUAGAGUAGUAGAAUAUUCUAGAACAUAUGAGAAUAGGUAGAUAUGAAUAUUGUUUAGGAUACUUAUAUGGAAUAUUCUAGAAUAUCAUAGAACAUGGAGGUUGAUGCCUAUAAAUAAGGGAAGACCUCCUCAUUUGUAAGAUGUACAAAAGGAGUGAAACAAAGUGUGAGCCCAAGUGUGUACCAAAGU